UACGUAGGGUGCAAGCGUUAAUCGGAAUUACUGGGCGUAAAGCGUGCGCAGGCGGUUUUUGUAAGUUUUGUCGUGAAAAUCCCCCGGGCUCAACCUGGGGAAUGGCGAUGAAGACUGCAAGGCUAGAAUCUGGCAGAGGGGGGGUAGAAUUCCACGUGUAGCAGUGAAAUGCGUAGAGAUGUGGAGGAACACCAAUGGCGAAGGCAGCCCCCCUGGGUCAAGACUGACGCUCAUGCACGAAAGCGUGGGGAGCAAACAGG
rnacentral:rRNA from 1 species